UACGUAGGAGGCGAGCGUUGUCCGGAGUUACUGGGCGUAAAGGGUGCGCAGGCGGCCCGACAGGUGUGUGGUGAAAUCUCCCGGCUCAACUGGGAGGGUGCGCCGAAUACUGAAUGACUAGAGUGCGGGAGAGGAGAGUGGAAUUCCUGGUGUAGCGGUGAAAUGCGUAGAUAUCAGGAGGAACACCGGUGGUGUAGACGGCUCUCUGGACCGUAACUGACGCUGAGGCACGAAAGCGUGGGUAGCAAACAGG
rnacentral:rRNA from 1 species